CGCAACAUCAGCGCGGUACUUGCACGAGCAUUAGCAUGACAAUGCCUACGCUCGAGAACGCGGGAUUGUUUGAAUGUGACUUCAGAGGAGCAGUAGCAGUAAUGGAGAGAUGAGAAACACUCCUGUGGGACCAUUUUCUGGAUUGCUGCACAUCUGAGAUAUCAUAUUUCUAUUAUAUUUUCAACAAUUGAAAAUGAAUGGGAAACGACGCCCAGGACGAUAAUGAGAUUUACGUAUGACAAACUUCAUUAAUGUGGGCUUCAAUGUGGGUUAUUUUGCCCUUGGCUUUGUUGAUUUUACACUGCCUUUUGCUGCGGUAAACGUAAAGUGCACCCUUUAUUUUAAUUUAAAAAUGGCGUACCCCACGAGUGUUAGGCUGGGAUUUUAACAGGGUUCCUUUGGUUUCUGCUUUAGCAGUAGCAGUAAUGGAGAGAUGAGAAACACUCCUGUGAGACCAUUUUCUGGAUUGCUGCACAUCUGAGAUAUCAUAUUUCUGAAACUUUACUACCCAACAGCCAGAGCACAAGCCGCUGAUGAGUUGUUACUUACAGGACGAUCAGUUUCUUGGCAUUUCUUGAUGAUGGCCGCUGUUGUUGAGACCUAGCACAUUAACGCCUAGGACAUGCAAGCAGCUCCAUCGCUACCAACAGAAUGAAUACUCCCAACCUACACAGCUCUUUCCAACCAAUUAGGUAGUGCUUAUACUCAAGACAUAUCAUUUGGAGAUGGCAGUGGAAGAGAUUGUUUGGCUGAAAAAAACAGUUUCCCUAGUUUCAGUAGCUUGAUGGAGAGACAAGAGCAAGCUAGUCCCUGGAGGCUGUUCUCUGGAGUGUAACAAAUCAGAGAUAUCACUGGUGACACUACGUCACAGCCAGAGCACAAGCUGCUGGUGAGCCGCUGGUCAUGGUACAUCCAGUUUCUUGAUAUUUCUUGAUGAUGGAGUAAUCUGUUCCUGUGCUUGAUGUUGAGUUGUAGCAUUGAUGAAGAGACAAGAUCAUACCCCUGGGAGACAGUUUUCUGGAUUUUAACACAUCACUGGCAACUGACAACACAACUCACUCGUACCACAAGCACAGCCAAGAUUUGGACUCUAGCACUGUGCCUAUCUGUUCUACUUGCUAGUCUUCUGCUGAUGGUUGAACAGUGAUAUGCUCCAUGCUGUGACAUGUUCAACCUCUCACAUCAUUUUCUUAUUUUGUCUGUCCUGGAAUAGCAUGAGCAAAUUCGGGGUGCAAUUUCUGUUGUAUAAGUGCAUUGAGCCUUUUAAGGGCAAUAAAAGUAACACCAGCAUGAUUUGAUUUCCUCAACAUAACAGAACUGGUAAUUUGCAACUGUUGCAGUGACCGUUUGUCUUGUGGUGGCAACAAAAGGUUUUGUUGAAAGGUUCCUAUUUUGCAUGGUUUUUCUGUACCAUCUGGUGUACCUCAAGGAAGUGUCUAUUGUCCAAUCCACUUCAAUUUAUGUAUGUCAACGACCUUCCUUAUCAUAUCGUGUCAGCUAGCACUUUAUUUGGUAACAAUGCUCUUGCAUAUAUAGGCCAAUAUUAUGUCAGUCUGAUGACCUUCAUCAACAAGAUGUUCAUGGCUUCCAUAGAUGUUGUCAUGCUAAUAUGCAUCUCAAUAAAUUACGAAGGAAACCAAAGUUAUACGUAUAGUAUGGUUUAAGAAAAUAGUGGAUCCAAAGUAUACUUUGGUUAACAUGCAGUUUUGAAGUUGAGAAUGAGUGCAAAUAUCUUCGUGUAAUAAUUUCAACUACUAAAUUUCUUGGGAAAAUCAUGUUAUGUCACUACCAAAUCAACCAGACUCAGUAUCUUGCUUUCAUUUUGUCAGUUUAUAGUGUUGACUGUUCUGGAAUACCAGUAGCCUACCUUCACAACAGAAACCUUAUAUAUUAACAAAUUAGACCAAAAUUCAACAUUGAGCAACCAAGAUAGUUCUCUAGCAAAGAAGAUUUGAAAUGGAACAGUGAUUGGUUGCAUACGUACAUUGAAUUUGUCUUUAUGAGAAUCUAAAUGCAUCCAUAUUUUGCUUACAUUUGUUGUUAGAGGUCUCCGUGGAGUUUUUGACAGUGAAAUAGUCUCAGUGAACAGUUCGAACAUGUAUAUUGGAAACGAUCAGGCUGGACAAACCUUACGGCUCAAAUACAAAAACCUUCACAUUUUGCCAAUUGCAUGCUUUAGGAUGAACUACAUGUACAUGUACCUGAACGUAUGAGAACAAGUGGUUUAACUGACCCUUCAACACCGGAUCAACUUAACCAAGUGCCCACUUGAAUUUGAAAGUUUAUGAAACUUUACAGAGUGCUGAUUGAAUUUGCAGUUGAGUACCUUUGUAAUAAGUUCGUUGGGACUGGCAGGUUGUGGGAGGGGCAUUGUUGUUUGGUGUAAGGGAGCACAACAUUUGGGGAUUUGAUACCCAGGAUUUGCCAUGUGGACCAGAUGUGUCGAUGGUUUUCUUUUUGUUGUUCUUCAACUGUAUUUUGUUAUUUCGUGGUGUCCUUCUUUCAUUUGGUUUUACACAAUAAAUUUCUUUCAUUGUUUUGAAGGUACUUGUCAUUGAUUUAUGUACUUGUUUCUGUAAUUAUUUUAUUUUCAUUACUGUAAUGUAUUUGUGUGUCAUAUUUAUCUUAGUUUUGCCGACUGAAUGUACUUUUUCUGUUCGAUUUAUUUAGUUGUUAUUUCUUGAAUCAUAUUUUCCUUGUAUAGUUACUUUAUUGUGUAUGUGUGGUCACGUUUAUGUAAAAGCUGGAACUUCAGAAAGGAAGGCUCACGUCAAACUCUUUCCUCUCUGUGCAUUUGUAACGUUUGUGUUCGUGAUUUCAGUGUAUAUGUGCUAUGUGUUUUGUUUAAUGUUCUGUUCUUUAUCCUGGAAAAUGCUGAAUAAAUGAAAGUGUUUCCCCCAUUGUACACA